rnacentral:lncRNA from 1 species
CACACAGCAGACCUCUCUUUGAGUCUGCCUCGGGGGAUAUAUGAAGCAGAGCAAUUCAGUUUAAGUACAAAAAGAGAGUUUCACACUCACCCCAGAUCUUGAGUCAGCAUCAUUCAGUACAGCUCACCCUGUCUUACAGAUCACCUUAUCAUCGUCAGUGCUGAUUCACAGUGGGAUGGGGAGAAUGGAUGCAGAAACAGUUUGUGAGGAGACCAUGAAGACAUCCAUUUUCUUCUCCAUUUCUCUACUACUCUCAGAUCUUAUGUUCAUCUCAAAAGCCAUCAUAGGCAAGAGGUGAUACUAAUUAGGUUAUGAUUUUUCACAGUACGCCUGAAAUGAGUAAUGUUUAUACAAAGUUC